rnacentral:rRNA from 1 species
UGGGGAAUUUUGGACAAUGGGCGAAAGCCUGAUCCAGCAAUGCCGCGUGUGUGAAGAAGGCCUUCGGGUUGUAAAGCACUUUUGUCCGGAAAGAAAUCCUUGGCUCUAAUACAGUCGGGGGAUGACGGUACCGGAAGAAUAAGCACCGGCUAACUACGUGCCAGCAGCCGCGGUAAUACGUAGGGUGCAAGCGUUAAUCGGAAUUACUGGGCGUAAAGCGUGCGCAGGCGGUUUGCUAAGACCGAUGUGAAAUCCCCGGGCUCAACCUGGGAACUGCAUUGGUGACUGGCAGGCUAGAGUAUGGCAGAGGGGGGUAGAAUUCCACGUGUGAGCAGUGAAAUGCGUAGAGAUGUGGAGGAAUACCGAUGGCGAAGGCAGCCCCCUGGGCCAAUACUGACGCUCAUGCACGAAAGCGUGGGGAGCAAACAGGAUU